UUAAAUAAGGAUAAUUUUAGAGUUUCUAUUCAAUUCGGUUCGGGUUAACGUACGAAAUCCGAACGGCUUGAAAAAUGCAACCCGAUCGGUUUUUAUUUCGAUUCGGGUUGAAUCCGAACCGAAAUCAAAACCCGAUCGGCUUAGCCUAUAUAUAUACACACAUGCACCAACGUUGCUUCCUUUCCUUCAAAUCCUUAAUUCCUCUUCUUUGCGCUUUCACAUUUGUGCUCCACAACAGCACACCUAGCACGUAGCAGUGGGCACAGACACUCACACACGACAUACCCAUGUGAUGUUGCCGCUGUUGAUUCCGUUCAGAGCACCAGCAUUGCAGGCUUGCAGCUUCUAGCCCUUCUGCCUCCCUUGAGUCGAUCUGGUUCCUCAUUCAAGACUUCAAGCUCAUGUCACCUUGAGCCGAUCUUGAAUCGCUUGCGUCUGCUCCGACUACUGUCGUCACUGCCUCCGGCUUCAUUCACGGUCGUCAGCUGCACAAGUUUAUGUAUGCAGAGUUCCAAAUGGUGUAUGAAUGGUUGUUUGUAAAUCAGUCUUCUUUUGGGCAUGGGUAAGAGGCAUUACUAGCACUAAAACUGUUCAAUCUUCUCUUGUGUAACGAUUGGUUGUAAUUGUUCCUGAUUUGGUUUCUUAACAUUGAAAUUUUUGUUGUAUUGAGUGUUAAUAGUGAUGGGUAUUAAUGUAUUAUAUAUGCUAUCAUUUGGUGUCAUUUUUGCUUUCAUUUUUGCAUCUGGAGUUGGGCUGGUGUUUGAUUUCGGAAUUUUAGGCGCUGCCUGGGUGGGAUUUGAUUCAUUUUGAAAUUGAAUUAAAUUUUGGAAGAGGUUGUAACCCGAAUUAGAAUCCAAACCGAAAUCUUGACUUGUAUUUUCAAUCCAAUCCAACCUGAACUGAACCGAAUUAAAUUCGGUAAUCCGGUUCGGUUCGGUUCGGGUUUUUGUUUCGAACCCGAAUGGGUUGUAACCCAAACCGAAACCCGAACAACCUGAACCGAAACCCGAUUUUUCGGUUCGGUUUACAAUCCGUUCGGGUUUGAGAAUUCAACCCAAACGGUUUGAAAAGCUAUUACGGUUCGAUAAGGUUCGGUUUUAAAUUCGGUUCAGGUUCGGUUUCAGAUUCGGGUUUGGGUUUUCGGUUUCAAUAACGGUUUAGAUUGUAAUUUGAGGUCAAAUUGUAUUCAUUCUACAGAAAUACAGAAUAUAACACCCAGAACAGUUUUAAUCACACUAAAAAAAUGAAUAAAAAUAUAUUCAAUCCAACAACCUUGCAAAGUAUAUGUCCAAAACAUGAGGUUUUCAAGCCUGUUUUAUUCAAAAUCCUCAAUCCCAAGCUCAAAUUUGAGAGCAACACGAACAUGCAAAAUUUAGAAAGCCAAAUCUCAAAAAGAAGGAAAAAUAAAUAAAAAGUGAUUAGCCAAAAACACCACCAUCACAAGAAUUACAUAAGCACAAAACAAGAAAACCCCAUAAAAUUUUCAAGAAUAUAUCUUAAGCCCAAAAUGCUACAAUAUCAAAAUUCUCAACCAACAAACAUACAAAUUUUACGCACCCAAAAUAUUCUACAGCAAACUAAGAAUCAGGAAUCAAAAGAAAAAGAAACAAACCCAGAAGAAAGAAAGCCAAGAGAAGCAAGAACGAAAGAAAUAAAAAGGACAAACCUUUAAAUAUAAUCCGAAGAAGACGAGAGUGAAGGUCGACAGCCGCUGUGCUGCGAGAAAGUGACCACUGACAAGACGCGAUUGACGGCCGAGAAUGACGACCGGUGGCAGCGUGGUGCGGUUGAGUGGCCGACGGCAGAUGAGAAUUGAGAGUAAAGAGAGAUGAGGCUUAGCUUAGGGUUUCUAAUUUUGAGGGGGAUCGGGUUUGAUUGCUAGAAAUUUAGGUUUUUUUUCUUUUUCUAAUAUAACCGAUCGGGUUUAUUGUUCGGUUCGGUUUUAACCGAACCGAAUAGAAAUCCGAUCGGUUUUUAUAAUCAAACCGAACCGAACCGAACCAAAAACCGAAAUACUUUUUAAAUUCCAUUCGGGUUGGUUCGGUUCAACCCAAACCAGAUGCUCGCCCCUACUUGUAGUCCAUAACUCCAUGAAAAAUCAGACAAUAAAAAUGGCCGACCUAUCAUACAUGAUUAAAAGAAAAUAAAUCCCAAACACAAUAGAACAUGAUCUCUCAAAAUUGAUCCUAAACACAAUCCCAAAACCCUAGGUUAAAGCAACUACCAAGAUUCGGCACAAUCAAUAAUCCAAUCAAAGAAAAUAAAAAUUUUGCUAAAAAAAAAAUCAAAACAACCAAAUAAAAUUCAAAUUUAUGUUCGUUUACGUAUACAGUAAAGUUUAAAAAAUCAUGAAAGAUUAAUUGAUAAAUAAUUAAAAAAAUGAGAUGAAGAUCGGUUGUCACCUUAAGGGUGAGAUUGUGAAUCAAAGAAGCCUUACGAGAGCAUAAAUAAGAGAAGAGAGAGAUAAGGAUUGUGUUAUGAGGGACAAAGAUUCGGAAAUAGAUGAAUUUGAUCAAG
rnacentral:lncRNA from 1 species